GUUAAAAAUUAAAGCAAAUUAAGAAUUAAAUUUAGAUAAAAAUUGAAAUUCAAUGUGUUUCUUACAAAAAUUUGAUGGAAGAAGCAAAAUCGAUGAUAUUUUCUCUCUGAAAUCGGGACGAGACGGAUAAGAUAACAACGAUCAUUUGUGCAGUUUAAUUAAAUAAUGGAGAUUAAAUAAUUAAUGGAAUGAUUUCAAAAGUGUGAUAGGUUAUGUAUCACGACUUUCGUGCAACUAUGAAAAUAUUUUGUUUUCGGGUAAUCGAUGAUUCAUGACUGUACAUCGCUCGACAUAUUUCGAUGAACUUCAAGCAUAUCUUCUUCGUUCAAUUCGAUAAUCGAAAUCGCAGUGUCAGAGAUGUCAUUUUUCCGUCAAGAAUCGUGUUUUUGGAUGUUUCGCUUCAGGUUAUUAGUUUGCUAUAAGACAGGAAAAAGUAAUUUCAAUAUGAACAAUCAUUUCAACAAUCAUUCAACGCGAUGAUUAAUCAGAUAAGCGAUAAAAUUUGAUUUUUUAUAAGGAAAAUAUAUACAUUUUUAUUUUCUUC
rnacentral:lncRNA from 1 species